AAGUCGUAACAAGGUUUCCGUAGGUGAACCUGCGGAAGGAUCAUUUCCAAAUUUGCCGUCUUUCUUCAUGUUGCUUUUUUCCUUCUUUGGAGAGAACAACACGCAAGAAAGACCAAAAACCUUUUCAUUACAAACACCAUUUGUAUUCUAACACAAAGCCUAACAAGUAUUCUUUUAAAGAAAAACAAAAAAACAACUUUUAACAACGGAUCUCUUGGCUCUC
rnacentral:misc_RNA from 1 species